rnacentral:rRNA from 1 species
AACGAACGCUGGCGGCAGGCUUAACACAUGCAAGUCGAACGCAUCCUUCGGGGUGAGUGGCAGACGGGUGAGUAACGCGUGGGAACGUGCCCUUCAGUUCGGGAUAACCCAGGGAAACUUGGGCUAAUACCGGAUACGUGCGAGAGCAGAAAGAUUUAUCGCUGAAGGAUCGGCCCGCGUCUGAUUAGCUAGUUGGUGGGGUAAUGGCCCACCAAGGCGACGAUCAGUAGCUGAUCUGAGAGGAUGAUCAGCCACAUUGGGACUGAGACACGGCCCAAACUCCUACGGGAGGCAGCAGUGGGGAAUAUUGGACAAUGGGCGCAAGCCUGAUCCAGCCAUGCCGCGUGAGUGAUGAAGGCCUUAGGGUUGUAAAGCUCCUUCGUCCGGGACGAUAAUGACGGUACCGGAAGAAGAAGCCCCGGCUAACUUCGUGCCAGCAGCCGCCGUAA